GCGUAAAGCGCACGCAGGCGGUUUGUUAAGUCAGAUGUGAAAUCCCCGGGCUCAACCUGGGAACUGCAUCUGAUACUGGCAAGCUUGAGUCUCGUAGAGGGGGGUAGAAUUCCAGGUGUAGCGGUGAAAUGCGUAGAGAUCUGGAGGAAUACCGGUGGCGAAGGCGGCCCCCUGGACGAAGACUGACGCUCAGGUGCGAAAGCGUGGGGAGCAAACAGGAUUAGAUACCCUGGUAGUCCACGCCGUAAACGAUGUCGACUUGGAGGUUGUGCCCUUGAGGCGUGGCUUCCGGAGCUAACGCGUUAAGUCGACCGCCUGGGGAGUACGGCCGCAAGGUUAAAACUCAAAUGAAUUGACGGGGGCCCGCACAAGCGGUGGAGCAUGUGGUUUAAUUCGAUGCAACGCGAAGAACCUUACCUGGUCUUGACAUCCACAGAACUUUCCAGAGAUGGAU
rnacentral:rRNA from 1 species